rnacentral:rRNA from 1 species
UACGUAGGGGGCAAGCGUUGUCCGGAUUUACUGGGCGUAAAGGGCGCGUAGGCGGCUUGUCAAGUCACUUGUGAAAUCUCUGGGCUUAACCCAGAACGGCCAAGUGAAACUGACAUGCUAGAGUGCGGAAGGGGCAAUCGGAAUUCUCGGUGUAGCGGGGAAAUGCGUAGAUAUCGAGAGGAACACCUGCGGCGAAGGCGGGUUGCUGGGCCGACACUGACGCUGAGGCGCGAAAGCCAGGGGAGCGAACGGG